rnacentral:tRNA from 1 species
GGAAAAUAUUAUAAACUUACUGCUAAUAAGUUUAAGAAAUUUAUCAUUUCAUUUUCCU